UAGUGUUCAGUGGAAAAAUUCUUGUUUCUCUAGCAUCAUCCUACCCUUUCCUCCCUAAAGAAGGCUGCAGUCCUGAUAAGCUCCCAUUCAGGGUCCCUCCACUGAUGGAGUGUCUCUGAGGAGAGAAAGAAGGGUUUAUCUAAGUGUCACCCCCUUCAAAGCUGAAAAAUACACAGGAACAUCAUCAACGGUGCUUAGUACUUCUCAUGUGGCCCCAUGAUCAUCAUGUUUGAGAUACUUCUGCAAGAAGCUCCAAACAGUGAACUACUGAGAGAACACUUGUGGGAAUAUUUGCAGAGACAAACAAAUGUCAUCUUAAA
rnacentral:lncRNA from 1 species